rnacentral:rRNA from 1 species
UACGUAGGUGGCGAGCGUUGUCCGGAUUUACUGGGCGUAAAGGGAGCGCAGGCGGACUUUUAAGUGAGAUGUGAAAUACCCGGGCUCAACUUGGGUGCUGCAUUUCAAACUGGAAGUCUAGAGUGCAGGAGAGGAGAAUGGAAUUCCUAGUGUAGCGGUGAAAUGCGUAGAGAUUAGGAAGAACACCAGUGGCGAAGGCGAUUCUCUGGACUGUAACUGACACUGAGGCACGAAAGCGUGGGGAGCAAACAGGAUUAGAUACCCCCGUA